AGAGUUUGAUCCUGGCUCAGAACGAACGCUGGCGGCACGCCUAACACAUGCAAGUCGAGCGCAGUCCUUCGGGACCGAGCGGCGGACGGGUUAGUAACGCGUGGGAAUAUACCCAUCACUAAGGAAUAGCCUCGGGAAACUGAGAGUAAUACCUUAUACGCCCUUCGGGGGAAAGAUUUAUCGGUGAUGGAUUAGCCCGCGUAAGAUUAGAUAGUUGGUGGGGUAACGGCCUACCAAGUCGACGAUCUUUAGCUGGUUUGAGAGGAUGAUCAGCAACACUGGGACUGAGACACGGCCCGGACUCCUACGGGAGGCAGCAGUGGGGAAUAUUGGACAAUGGGCGCAAGCCUGAUCCAGCAAUGCCGCGUGUGUGAAGAAGGCCCGAGGGUUGUAAAGCACUUUCAAUUGUGAAGAAGGGUAUAAGAUUAAUACUCUUGUACUUUGACGUUAACUUUAGAAGAAGCACCGGCUAACUCUGUGCCAGCAGCCGCGGUAAUACAGAGGGUGCGAGCGUUAAUCGGAAUUACUGGGCGUAAAGCGCGCGUAGGCGGCUGAUUAAGUCAGAUGUGAAAUCCCCAGGCUCAACCUGGGAACUGCAUCUGAUACUGGUCAGCUAGAGUUUAGGAGAGGGAAGUAGAAUUUCAGGUGUAGCGGUGAAAUGCAUAGAGAUCUGAAGGAAUACCAGUGGCGAAGGCGACUUCCUGGCCUAAAACUGACGCUGAGGUGCGAAAGCAUGGGGAGCAAACAGGAUUAGAUACCCUGGUAGUCCAUGCCGUAAACGAUGUCAACUAGGCGUUGGGGCGGUUAAUCGUCUCAUUGCCGGAGCUAACGCAUUAAGUUGACCGCCUGGGGAGUACGGUCGCAAGAUUAAAACUCAAAGGAAUUGACGGGGGCCCGCACAAGCGGU
rnacentral:rRNA from 1 species